GAUCAUGGCUCAGGAUGAACGCUGGCGGUGUGCCUAAUACAUGCAAGUCGAUCGGGCGUAGCAAUACGUCAGAGGCGUACGGGUGAGUAACACGUAGGUAACCUACCUUUAAGACUGGGAUACCCAGACGAAAGUUUGGCUAAUACCGGAUAACAACAUUUGAGACAUCUCUUUUGUUUGAAAGGCGCUGCAAGGCGCCACUUUUAGAUGGACCUGCGUCGCAUUAGCUAGUUGGUGAGAUAAAAGCCCACCAAGGCUGGGAUGCGUAGCCGAUCUGAGAGGAUGACCGGCCACAAUGGGACUGAGACACGGCCCAUACUCCUACGGGAGGCAGCAGUAGGGAGUUUUCGGCAAUGGGGGAAACCCUGACCGAGCAACACCGCGUGAGUGAUGAAAGGUCUUCGGAUCGUAAAGCUCUGUUACGAGGGACGAAUGAUCGCUUUAGGAAAUGAGAGCGGUUUGACGGUACCUCGCCAGAAAGCGACGGCUAACUACGUGCCAGCAGCAGC
rnacentral:rRNA from 1 species